ensembl:lncRNA
CUUACGUCACUUCCGCAAGCCAUUAAGUUUCAUUCACAAGCAAGAUUGUGCUCUUUUUCAUCGGUGGACAUCUUGGAUGCAGCCAAGUCAAUUUGAUGACGGAUGAGGUGCAUUGCGACCAUAGAGGCAUUUAUAGGCGGUAAACCGCUUCACAGACGGUAUUUUUCCACAAAAUAUUUUGAGGUUGUGUUUGAGUUCCACAGGCUUGUAUCACCUGACAUUGUUUGAAGGGCUUGAUCAGCACCUCCCUGGCCCCUGCAGUUGUACAACACCAAGAGAGGCAGUGAAAUACCAGAAAUCCAAAAUGUGAUGACGUGCCUUGAUAGAGAUAUCUAAUCAGAAGAAGAGGGAAGGAGUUCUUCAGGGCCUACCUUAUUUCAUGAGGGAGAAUCCAAGCAAAUUUUUUAAAAUUUAUUUAUUUUAAUUUGUGAGGUAAAAUGGUAAAUAUUGUUUUUAUUUUUAUGAAACCUUCUUCUCUUUCUUCCUAAAGUACCCAAUAACACAAGAUCUGAAUGAAUGGUAAGUUUUGAAAUUUGGCACAUUGAUACUACAGGCUAUGAGUAACUGCGACAAAACAAAUGGCCCACAUGAGCCCAUAGGUGGUGCUAUAGGCCACACUCAAUCUACAUUAUUUUCCCCCAGCCCCCUAAGUCCAGAAUGUCUGAAAAUUGGUAUACGUGCCUUAUUUCUCAUUGGGAACAAAAAAUCCAUUGGGACCAUAAAGUCCAUCAUGAUUUUCCGGUACACUUUGUCCAAACUACAAAAAUCUUCUCCUUAUGAACUGUAGGUCCGAUUGACUUGAACUGU